rnacentral:rRNA from 1 species
CAGCCGCCACGGUAACACGUAGGGUGCAAGCGUUAAUCGGAAUUACUGGGCGUAAAGCGUGCGCAGGCGGUUAUAUAAGACAGAUGUGAAAUCCCCGGGCUCAACCUGGGAACUGCAUUUGUGACUGUAUAGCUAGAGUACGGCAGAGGGGGAUGGAAUUCCGCGUGUAGCAGUGAAAUGCGUAGAUAUGCGGAGGAACACCGAUGGCGAAGGCAAUCCCCUGGGCCUGUACUGACGCUCAUGCACGAAAGCGUGGGGAGCAAACAGGAUUAGAGACCCGGGUAGUCCCUGUCUCUUAUAC